ACGCUCGACACCUACGGGGGGCAGCAGUGGGGAAUAUUGCACAAUGGGGGAAGGCCCUGAUGCAGCGACGCCGCGUGGAGGAAGAAGGUCUUCGGAUUGUAAACUCCUGUUGUUGGGGAAAAAGAGGAUGGUACCCAACAAGGAAGUGACGGCUAACUACGUGCCGGCAGCCGCGGUAAUCUGAGCGGGCUGGCAAGGC
rnacentral:rRNA from 1 species